rnacentral:rRNA from 1 species
AUUGAACGCUGGCGGCAGGCUUAACACAUGCAAGUCGAGCGGAGAUGAGGUGCUUGCACCUUAUCUUAGCGGCGGACGGGUGAGUAAUGCUUAGGAAUCUGCCUAUUAGUGGGGGGCAACAUUCCGAAAGGAAUGCUAAUACCGUAUACGUCCUACGGGAGAAAGCAGGGGAUCUUCGGACCUUGCGCUAAUAGAUGAGCCUAAGUCGGAUUAGCUAGUUGGUGGGGUAAAGGCCUACCAAGGCGACGAUCUGUAGCGGGUCUGAGAGGAUGAUCCGCCACACUGGGACUGAGACACGGACCAGACUCCUACGGGAGGCAGCAGUGGGGAAUAUUGGACAAUGGGGGGAACCCCGAUCCAGCCAUGCCGCGUGUGUGAAGAAGGCCUUAUGGUUGUAAAGCACUUUAAGCGAGGAGGAGGCUACUGAGACUAAUACUCUUGGAUAGUGGACGUUACUCGCAGAAUAAGCACCGGCUAACUCUGUGCCAGCAGCCGCCGUAAAAC